AUUGAACGCUGGCGGCAGGCCUAACACAUGCAAGUCGAGCGAGCGGCGGACGGGUGAGUAAUGUAUGGGAAUCUGCCCGAUAGAGGGGGAUAACUACUGGAAACGGUAGCUAAUACCGCAUACUAUCGGAUGUACCCAUAUGGGAUUAGCUAGUAGGUGGGGUAAAGGCUCACCUAGGCGACGAUCUCUAGCUGGUCUGAGAGGAUGACCAGCCACACUGGAACUGAGACACGGUCCAGACUCCUACGGGAGGCAGCAGUGGGGAAUAUGGCACAAUGGGCGCAAGCCUGAUGCAGCCAUGCCGCGUGUAUGAAGAAGGCCUUCGGGUUGUAAAGUACUUUCAGCGGGGAGGCGUUACCCGCAGAAGAAGCACCGGCUAACUCCGUGCCAGCAGCCGCGGUAAUAC
rnacentral:rRNA from 1 species